UUUUUAUAAGGAUAACUACGGAAAAGCUGUAGCUAAUACUUGAACGAUUGUUCUUCAGUUCCCCAAAAAGGUUCUGUAGAACACGUAUUUGUUAAGCCUAAUAAGAAAAAAGUUAUUAACUUAAGGAAUUAUAACAAAGAAGGAACACAUAAUAAAACUUUGUUUUAUUUAGUGUGUAUCAAUCGAGUUUCUGACCUAUCAGCUUUUGAUGUUAGGGUAUUGGCCUAACAUGGCUAUGACGGGUAACGGGGAAUUAGAGUUCGAUUCCGGAGAGGGAGCCUGAGAAAUAGCUACCACAUCUAAGGAAGGCAGCAGGCGCGUAAAUUACCCAAUUCUAAAGAAGAGAGGUAGUGACAAGAAAUAACAAGGUAAGGUCAAAUUUUGGCUUUGCCAUUGGAAUGAUAGGAAUUUAAAAACUUCCUAAAGUAACAAUUGGAGGGCAAGUCUGGUGCCAGCAGCCGCGGUAAUUCCAGCUCCAAUAGCGUAUAUUAAAAUUGUUGCAGUUAAAACGCUCGUAGUUGAAUUUCAAAGAAUCAAUUUUUAAGGUAAUGCUUUAUCGGAUACGUGUUAAAUGGUGCUUCGGCGCGUAUUUUUCACAAUUCUGAUAUUAUGUAUUCCUUAAAAUAAAAUAGGUUCUUUUUAAAAAUUCUUCGUUGCUUUAUGUGAUGAGAAUUUUUGUUACUUUGAGUAAAUUAGAGUGUUCAAAGCAAACAGUUUAAAACAGCUAAAACUGUGUUUGAAUACUACAGCAUGGAAUAACAAAAUUGAACAAGCUAAAAUUUUUGUUCUUUUUUCUUAUUUUGGCUUAGUUACGAUUAAUAGGAGUAGUUUGGGGACAUUCGUAUUCAGAUGUCAGAGGUGAAAUUCUUAGAU
rnacentral:rRNA from 1 species